rnacentral:lncRNA from 1 species
GUUUUCAAUGGCAGUAGCUUCAAUUUCCUUCCUGCUGGUGUGAAAAGGAUGACUGGAGCAGGCAGGGCUGAUCCAGGUGCAGGUGGGGAGGAUCAAACAGCCUGCCCACUGCUCCCUCUCCUCUCCUCACUGGGGCUGAGGGAGUCUCCUGUGGGAGAGAGGGGGCCAUCUUUCCUUCGUCCCCGAGGAGAGGUCAACCUGAUUGUGCUGCCCUUGCUUGCCUAGGGCAGUUGCUUCUCGGGUUGGUAGAUACUGGGCUUAGUGCUGGAAUGUGGAUACUGGACUCAUUUCUGAUUUUCUGGCUCUUCAGCAAUGUUGACCCAGGCCCUCCCUAUCACAUGGGAUUAGAGGAAGGAGGUUUAGG